UACGGAGGGGGCAAGCGUUGUUCGGAUUUACUGGGCGUAAAGGGCGUCUAGGUUGCUGUGUAAGUUGGAUGUGAAAUCCCCCAGCUCAACUGAGGAAUAGCAUUCAAAACUGCAUGGCUAGAGUGUGAGAGAGGAAAGCGGAAUUCCUAGUGUAGCGGUGAAAUGACGUAGAUAUUAGGAGGAACACCAGUGGCGAAGGCGGCUCACUGGCCCGAUACUGACGCUGAGGUGCGAAAGCGUGGGAGCAA
rnacentral:rRNA from 1 species